CGUCUCAAAGUCGUCUUUUAGGCGGACAAAUCAUCAGAUGUGAAAACGUGUCGUACAAAACUUUAGACGAACAAGUCGUCUGAAUUUGUUCGACUAUUUGUCCGUCUGUGAAGAAAUCUUUUGAGAGACGAUUUGUUCGUCUAGACGACUUGUCCGUCUGUAAUGUGAAUAGGGCUAAUACUUUUCCUAACUGUGUUUAUCCUAACCCACCCGGCUAACUUCCCUGUGGGAUGAAACCGGAGCACCCUGAGAAAACCGCGACUUUCGAUAGAGUGUUGACAGACUCUUUUCACAUGAGUCCGUAGCGAGAAUUGAACCCACGAUCUAAGAGGUGAAAGGCACUUGCUCUGAUACCUGCGUCGCCGAAGCCCCUACGCGUGCACCCGCUAUGCGUGCCCCAAAUUUCUUGAAACUUUGAUAGCUUGUGUAAGACAGGCCAUUUCUUACUCUCUUUGAUUAAAUAUUGUUUCCGAUGAGAAAUGUUUUUUGCGCAAGGCCCCUUUUUGGCUUUUUUUAGUAACAGCUUUCCUACUCUUAAAACGCUUGCAUUUUCAAUAAUUUUACUGCUAGAUGUAGCAGAGAACGUUAAAGUACGUAGACUUACUGGAUGUUUUCGCAAAAUUCGCGAGCAUCGUGACGUCUGACUUUAGUGAACUUUUUCCAACAGUGUACUUUUUUUAUACGUACACCCUGUACAAUACGUUCGACAUGAGUCCGAAAUUCUGCAUUUUACAUGCAAUAUUCAAUAACCUGUUUUCUCUUUUAAUUAUAAUUAUUUUCUUUUCGACUAUUAACACUUUUGACAUUAUAAAUCACACAUAAUUAAUUAUUGUAUCAGAAUAAAAGAAAAUACUACCCUGC
rnacentral:lncRNA from 1 species